rnacentral:rRNA from 1 species
UACUGCUCAGUAACACGUAGACAACCUACCCUGUGAUCGAUGAUACCCUCGGGAAACUGAGGCUAAACAUCGGUAGAUGAAGGAGGCUGGAAUGCGCCUUCGUCGAAACGCAAGGUCAUAGGAUGGGUCUGCGGCCGAUUAGGUAGUUGUUGAGGUAACUACUCAACAAGCCAAUUAUCGGUAAGGGCUCUUAACGGAGAGGCCCUGAGAGGGAGUCUGAGACACUACUCCCAGCUCUAUGGAGUGCAGCAGGCGGGAGAAUUCUCCAAUGUCCGAAAGGAUGAGAGAGGAAUCCAAAGUGCUUCUCAAUUUUUGAGAGGCUUUUGUCCACUUUAAAAAGGCGGGCGAAUAAGGACUGGGCAAGACUGGUGCCAGCAGCCGCGGUAAU